rnacentral:rRNA from 1 species
GAUGAACGCUGGCGGCGUGCUUAACACAUGCAAGUCGAACGGGAAACCUUUUAUUGAAGCUUCGGCAGAUUUAACUGGUUUCUAGUGGCGGACGGGUGAGUAACGCGUGGGUAACCUGCCUUGUACAGGGGGAUAACAGUCAGAAAUGACUGCUAAUACCGCAUAAGCGCACAGGACCGCAUGGUCCGGUGUGAAAAACUCCGGUGGUAUAAGAUGGACCCGCGUUGGAUUAGCUUGUUGGUGGGGUAACGGCCCACCAAGGCGACGAUCCAUAGCCGGCCUGAGAGGGUGAACGGCCACAUUGGGACUGAGACACGGCCCAGACUCCUACGGGAGGCAGCAGUGGGGAAUAUUGCACAAUGGGGGAAACCCUGAUGCAGCGACGCCGCGUGAAGGAAGAAGUAUCUCGGUAUGUAAACUUCUAUCAGCAGGGAAGAAAAUGACGGUACCUGACUAAGAAGCC